rnacentral:rRNA from 1 species
CGAGGGGUAACAGGGAGCUUGCUCUGCUGACGACCGGCGCACGGGUGCGUAACGCGUAUACAAUCUGCCUUACACUAAGGGAUAGCCCAGAGAAAUUUGGAUUAAUACCUUAUAGUUUAUUAGAAUGGCAUCAUUUUAAUAAUAAAGAUUACGGUGUAAGAUGAGUAUGCGUCCCAUUAGUUUGUUGGUAAGGUAACGGCUUACCAAGACUACGAUGGGUAGGGGCCCUGAGAGGGGGAUCCCCCACACUGGUACUGAGACACGGACCAGACUCCUACGGGAGGCAGCAGUGAGGAAUAUUGGCAAUGGGCGAGAGCCUGAUCCAGCCAUGCCGCGUGCAGGAAGACGGUCCUAUGGAUUGUAAACUGCUUUUAUACAGGAAGAAUAAGGACUACGUGUAGUCUGGUGACGGUACUGUAAGAAUAAGGACCGGCUAACUCCGUGCCAGCCGCCGCGGWAAUACGGUCAUAGCU